CUUAUCGUCGCUAUCAUUGCUGUCUUGGAGUUUCCUCCUGCAAAACAUCAUGGACAGUAAGGUACAGAUAAGAGCAUGCUGUAACUAAGCAAAACAUCAUGGACAAUAAGAUAGUAGUCAGUGAAACAGAUACUUUAGCAUUCCUUUACUCAUGGCAAUAGGAAUAGCAUUACACCAGGUCGGACCCUCACUGCAACUUUCACUGAUGACAUGCUAUAAAGGGGAAGAAAAUGAAUUUAUACUUUCUUUAAUUACACAAACUGACAUAAAUUUACCAAAGUCAAUAAAAUACACAACAAAAUGAAUGAAUGAGGUCUUCACUUAUCAAGAAAACCUGAACAAAAAAUUCUGAAAUA